UGCUCCGUUAGUGUAGUCCGGCCAAUCAUUCCAGCCUCUCGAGCUGGGGACUCGGGUUCGAAUCCCGGACGGAGCAU
rnacentral:tRNA from 1 species